AGUGAACGCUGGCGGCAUGGCUAAGACAUGCAAGUCGAACGGGAUCUACUGAAGGGUAACCGGAUGUAGUGAGAGUGGCGAACGGGUGCGUAACACGUGAACAAUCUACCUUAAAGUUGGGGAUAGCUCGAGGAAACUCGAAUUAAUACCGAAUGUGGUUCCUUCUCGCAUGGGAAGGAUACUAAAGCUUGUAACGGCGCUUUAAGAGGGGUUCGCGGCCUAUCAGCUUGUUGGUGAGGUAACGGCUCACCAAGGCCAAGACGGGUAGCUGGUCUGAGAGGAUGAUCAGCCACACUGGAACUGAGACACGGUCCAGACUCCUACGGGAGGCAGCAGUGGGGAAUAUUGGACAAUGGGCGCAAGCCUGAUCCAGCCAUACCGCGU
rnacentral:rRNA from 1 species